CGCACAUUGCGCCCAUUAGUAUUCUAGUGGGCAUGCCUGUUCGAGCGUCAUUUCAACCCUUAAGCCCUAGUUGCUUAGCGUUGGGAAUCUACGCCUUGUAGUUCCUUAAAGACAGUGGCGGAGCCGGGUCGGACUCUGAGCGUAGUAGCAUACAUCUCGCUUUUGCAGCCCCCCCGGCCCCUGCCGUGAAAUAUACUUAUAACAAGUGGUUGACCUCGGAUCAGGUAGGAAUACCCGCUGAACUUAA
rnacentral:misc_RNA from 1 species